rnacentral:rRNA from 1 species
AGUGAACGCUGGCGGUAGGCCUAACACAUGCAAGUCGAACGGCAGCACAGUAAGAGCUUGCUCUUACGGGUGGCGAGUGGCGGACGGGCGAGGAAUACAUCGGAAUCUACUUUUUCGUGGGGGAUAACGUAGGGAAACUUACGCUAAUACCGCAUACGACCUACGGGUGAAAGCAGGGGAUCUUCGGACCUUGCGCGAUUGAAUGAGCCGAUGUCGGAUUAGCUAGUUGGCGGGGUAAAGGCCCACCAAGGCGACGAUCCGUAGCUGGUCUGAGAGGAUGAUCAACCACACUGGAACUGAGACACGGUCCAGACUCCUACGGGAGGCAGCAGUGGGGAAUAUUGGACAAUGGGCGCAAGCCUGAUCCAGCCAUACCGCGUGGGUGAAGAAGGCCUUCGGGUUGUAAAGCCCUUUUGUUGGGAAAGAAAAGCAGCAGGUUAAUACCCCGCUGUUCUGACGGUACCCAAAGAAUAAGCACCGGCUAACUUCGUG